rnacentral:rRNA from 1 species
AUUGAACGCUGGCGGCAUGCCUUACACAUGCAAGUCGAACGGUAACGCGGGGCAACCUGGCGACGAGUGGCGAACGGGUGAGUAAUAUAUCGGAACGUGCCCAGUAGUGGGGGGAUAGCCCGGCGAAAGCCGGAUUAAUACCGCAUGAGACCUGAGGGUGAAAGCGGGGGAUCGCAAGACCUCGCGCUAUUGGAGCGGCCGAUAUCAGAUUAGGUAGUUGGUGGGGUAAAGGCCUACCAAGCCGACGAUCUGUAGCUGGUCUGAGAGGACGACCAGCCACACUGGAACUGAGACACGGUCCAGACUCCUACGGGAGGCAGCAGUGGGGAAUUUUGGACAAUGGGCGCAAGCCUGAUCCAGCAAUGCCGCGUGCAGGAUGAAGGCCUUCGGGUUGUAAACUGCUUUUGUACGGAACGAAAAGGCUCUGGUUAAUACCUGGGGCUCAUGACGGUACCGUAAGAAUAAGCACCGGCUAACUACGUGCCAGCAGCCGCGGUAAUCAACG